CGUCUUUAGGUCAGUAGUAGACAAAACUAGAGCUGAAACUCCAAUCUUCUGACUUUAUCCGUUAGAUUUUAAUGGAUUUAAUCUUCCUCCAUCAGAGAGCCAGAGAUUUGCACUAUUAAGGCUACUACAUAGGACUGAACGGCAAAGAAAGCACACACGUUAUGAACAUACUGACAAUUUAUCGUGUCCACACCUUGGAAAAAGAGUUCCUGUUUCAUUCUAUCCUGGAGAUACAGUUCCACAUAAAACCUAAGCGACUCCAGAGAACCUUUAAGCAGACAAUGUUGGAGUGGAAAAGCAGGAAGUCCAAUUAAACAGAGCCAAGGGAGCAGAUAUCUGAUCGAAACCCUCAGUUGGAACAGGUGCCACUGCUGAGAUUUGCAUCCCAUUUGUCCAGGGUUCCUUAGAGAUGCAAACAUGG
rnacentral:lncRNA from 1 species